AUUGAACGCUGGCGGCAUGCUUUACACAUGCAAGUCGGACGAGUGGCGAACGGGUGAGUAACGCAUCGGAACGUACCGAGUAACUGGGGAUAACUGUCCGAAAGGAUAGCUAAUAACGCAUAUUAUUCGAGCGGCCGAUGUCUGAUUGUCGUGUUGGCGGGGUAAAGGCCGACCACGGCGACGAUCAGUAGCGGGUCUGAGAGGGGGACCCGCCACACUGGGACUGAGACACGGCCCAGACUCCUACGGGAGGCAGCAGUGGGGAAUUUUGGACAAUGGGCGCAAGCCUGAUCCAGCCAUGCCGCGUGUCUGAAGAAGGCCUUCGGGUUGUAAAGGACUUUUGUCAGGGAAGCGGUACCUGAAGAAUAAGCACCGGCUAACUACGUGCCAGCAGCCGCGGUAAUAC
rnacentral:rRNA from 1 species